rnacentral:rRNA from 1 species
UACAGAGGGGGCAAGCGUUAUUCGGAAUUAUUGGGCGUAAAGGGCGCGUAGGCGGCAUGGCAAGUGGAAGGUGAAAUUCCUGGGCUUAACCUGGGGACUGCGCUUGAGACGGGUGUGCUGGAGGGCAGGAGAGGCUCGCGGAAUUCCCAGUGUAGAGGUGAAAUUCGUAGAUAUUGGGAAGAACACCGGUGGCGAAGGCGGCGAGCUGGCCUGUACCUGACGCUGAGGCGCGACAGCGUGGGGAGCAAACAGG